rfam:Thiobacillus sp. SCN 63-1177 ABS89_C0024, whole genome shotgun sequence.
UCUCCCGUUGCGGGAGAGCGCACAAAUAACGUGCCGCCGAAGGCGUAACCCACCCGGAAUCGCUCAGGCAAAAGGACCGCAACAACCGG